AGUGAACGCUGGCGGUAGGCCUAACACAUGCAAGUCGAACGGCAGCACAGUAAGAGCUUGCUCUUACGGGUGGCGAGUGGCGGACGGGUGAGGAAUACAUCGGAAUCUACUUUUUCGUGGGGGUUAACGUAGGGAAACUUACGCUAAUACCGCAUACGACCUACGGGUGAAAGCAGUGGAUCUUCGGACCUUGCGCGUUUUAAUUAGCCGAUGUCGGAUUAGCUAGUUGGCGGGGUAAAGGCCCACCAAGGCGACGAUCCGUAGCUGGUCUGAGAGGAUGAUAAGCCACACUGGAACUGAGAAACGGUCAAGACUCCUACGGGAGGCAGCAGUGGGGAAUAUUGGACAAUGGGCGAAAGCCUGAUCCAGCAAUACCGCGUGGGUGAAGAAGGCCUUCGGGUUGUAAAGCCCUUUUGUUGGGAAAGAAAAGCAGCAGGUUAAUACCCCGCUGUUCUGACGGUACCCAAAGAAUAAGCACCGGCUAACUUCGUG
rnacentral:rRNA from 1 species